AUUGAACGCUGGCGGAAUGCUUUACACAUGCAAGUCGAGCGGCAGCGCGGGGGCAACCCUGGCGGCGAGCGGCGAACGGGUGAGUAAUACAUCGGAACGUGUCCUUAAGUGGGGGAUAGCUCGGCGAAAGCCGGAUUAAUACCGCAUAAGCUCUGAGGAGGAAAGCGGGGGCUCCGUAAGGACCUCGCGCUGUUGGAGCGGCCGAUGUCGGAUUAGCUAGUUGGUGGGGUAAAGGCCCACCAAGGCGACGAUCCGUAGCUGGUCUGAGAGGAUGAUCAGCCACACUGGAACUGAGACACGGUCCAGACUCCUACGGGAGGCAGCAGUGGGGAAUUUUGGACAAGUGGGGGCAACCCUGAUCCAGCCAUUCCGCGUGAGUGAAGAAGGCC
rnacentral:rRNA from 1 species